rnacentral:rRNA from 1 species
UUGAGGAAUUUUCCGCAAUGGGCGAAAGCCUGACGGAGCAAUGCCGCGUGAAGGAUGAAGGCCUAUGGGUUGUAAACUUCUUUUCUCAGAAAAGAAUUAUGACGGUAUCUGAGGAAUAAGCAUCGGCUAACUCUGUGCCAGCAGCCGCGGUAAGACAGAGGAUGCAAGCGUUAUCCGGAAUGAUUGGGCGUAAAGCGUCUGUAGGUUGUUUAAAAAGUAUUCUGUCAAAGAUUAGGGCUUAACCCUAGAUAGGCAGAAUAAACUUUUAAGCUAGAGUUUGGUAGAGGCAGAGGGAAUUCCCGGUGGAGCGGUGAAAUGCGUAGAUAUCGGGAGGAACACCAAAGGCGAAGGCACUCUGCUGGGCCAAUACUAACACUGAGAGACGAAAGCGAGGGGAGCAAAUGGGAUUAGAAACCCCAGUAGUCC